rnacentral:rRNA from 1 species
UACGUAGGGGGCAAGCGUUGUCCGGAAUCAUUGGGCGUAAAGAGCGUGUAGGCGGCCCGAUAAGUCCGCUGUGAAAGCCCUGGGCUCAACCUGGGAAUUGCAGUGGAUACUGGCAGGCUAGAGUGCGGUAGAGGAUGGUGGAAUUCCCGGUGUAGCGGUGAAAUGCGUAGAGAUCGGGAGGAACACCCGUGGCGAAGGCGGCCAUCUGGACCAGCACUGACGCUGAGGCACGAAAGCGUGGGGAGCAAACAGG